AAUCUCGUGAACCAUCGAGUCUUUGAACGCAAGUUGCGCCCGAAGCCUUCGGGCCGAGGGCACGCCUGCCUGGGCGUCACGCAUCGCGUCGCCCCCUCCCUCCGGAGCGGGGGUGCGGAGAAUGGCCUCCCGUGCGCUCCCGCCGCGCGGCCGGCCC
rnacentral:rRNA from 1 species